CUCAGGAUGAACGCUGGCGGCGUGCCUAACACAUGCAAGUCGAGCGGGGAAGCCGGAACAUGUAGAGAUAUAUGAGAAGGCAUCCUAGCGGCGGACGGGUGAGUAACACGUGAGGAACCUGCCUUACACAGGGGAAUAACACCGUGAAAACGGUGCUAAUACCGCAUAACACCGCACUAUGGCAUCAUAGAGCGGUCAAAGGAGAAAUCCGGUGUAAGAUGGCCUCGCGCCCGAUUAGUUAGUUGGUGGGGUAAUGGCCUACCAAGACUGCGAUCGGUAGCCGGACUGAGAGGUCGAACGGCCACAUUGGAACUGAGAGACGGUCCAGACUCCUACGGGAGGCAGCAGGUGGGGAAUAUUGGGCAAUGGGGGGAAAAACCCCUGACCCAGCAACGCCGCGUGAAGGAAGAAGGCCUUCGGGUUGUAAACUUCUUUGAUCAGGGAAGAAACAAAUGACGGUACCUGAAAAACAAGCCACGGCUAACUACGUGCCAGCAGCGGC
rnacentral:rRNA from 1 species